GUUUGUCAACUCAACACCCACUCUCCCUGUCUUCCUCGCAGUCAAGCCCAGGCUCAGCCACCUGUCCUCUGCUAAUUUAUGUAUUUCAGGGGAAGCCUGCUGUGUCAUGAGUCUAAGAUGUUUUCUAAUGGUGAAAAGGCAAAGUGGGGGUCUCGUUCUUGUUCCUGGAAUUGAUUUUGAGGACCUCAGAUGUCUAACCAAGGCUGGGAAUCUGAUGAGAGAGCCACUCUCCAUGAAGCUGAAACAGGGAGAUUCACCACCACUUACGUGAGCUGAAUGUGAGACUGUCCAGCUCCUUCUCUACUGAAGGGGCUGUGGAAAAUGAUAAGAGGGACGAUGCCUUGCUGUUGAGCAGAGUGAGGAGUGACAAUGUGCGAGAGAAUUUUCAGUCAACACUUGUCAUUACAGGAGAACUGCACCUCAAAUACGUAAGACCCGGAUUAUCCAAAUAUCUUAAACCAUACAUUUAAGUGACAAGGGUUACACGGAUUAUGCAUGGGCUGCAAUAAAUACAACUACUUUCUGCAGGAAUAUAACUUCAUUCUAGGCCCGAAACAAUUCCCCCAAAUAAUUUUCCAAAGAAAAUGAGUUGUUUACAGCAAAAAGUUAAUCACAGGCGCAUAAGACCUGAGGGAAGAACAGUGAAAACGAAGAGAAGAAAUGAAUCUUGAAAGAUUCCAAAUAGUAGAACUACCAUGCACAGACCAUAAAAGAACAAUGUUUAUCAUGUUUUAAGACAUUACAAACCAGACUGAAAAUAUCUGCAGGGAAUAGGAAACUACCAAAAAAUACCUCAGUGUUUUUGAAAAAUAACUAAAUAAAUGUAGAAAUGAAAAUCACAGUAAUUGCAAUAAAAAACUCAAUAGACAGAUUUAAUAAGACUAUAAAGGAUGCACUCAAAGAUACCCGAAGAAAUUUCCAGUGCAUUGCACAGACAGAUGAAGAGUGAGAAAAUAAAGGAGAAGUUAAAAGGCAAGACACAGUGAGACACUAAUCUUAUCAGGUUUCUAGAAAGGGAGCAGAAAAUGAAGGGCAUGAAAUAUUUAAAGAGAUAAUUAUUUAGAGUUUUCAAAACUGUUGAAAAAGAAAAAAAUCUAUACACUAUGCAGAGAAAAAGAGUAACACACUCAUGAAAGGAGUGGUAAUUAGGUUGAUACCUGAUUUCAGUGGCACCCGGGAGACUGGAAUGAUGUAUUCAGCAAGCUGAAAAAAAAUGCUCAUCCAGACUUCAACAUCCAAGAAUGAAGCUGAAGUGAAAACUAGAAUUAUCUGCCAAAAAUCUAUUUUCACUAAGGGAAUGUCUGAAGUCUC
rnacentral:lncRNA from 1 species